rnacentral:SRP_RNA from 1 species
CUCCGGUCCCCUCGCAAUAAUGACCUGUAAACCCCGCCAGGCCCGGAAGGGAGCAACGGUAGCAGUUAGUUAUGUGCCGGGGUGUGGCUGGUUAGG